CUCCUCCCCCGCCCACCCGGCGUCUCUGUCGCUGCAGGCAGCAGUCGCGGGGGUGGAGGCUGCUGGACUCUUGCGGAGGGCCGGCGGGGCGUAGCGCGGGAUGGCGUCGCUGCCCCUCUGGCCCUGCCUGGACUCCCUCCCGGGCGCGAGUGAGGCAAGCAGGAGACGGCUCGGGCUUCCCCCGCCGUCCCAACGCAACGGGGAGGCGGCUCGCGACACCCACCCACCUCCCCGCUCCACAGAAGCGGCCGCGCGCGACGGUUGCCACUGAAGCGCUCCGACGCGCGUUCAGCAGCAAGGGCGGGCGGCGCCCGUGCCCAGUCUGUGCCUUGCAGAAGACUGUGCUUUUUUGCACCCGACGACCCGUUUGCCUCACUCCGAGGGGGGAAAGGAGCUACAACAGAUUACCCAUUCUCCAUGAAUGCAUCUUACGGACUCGAUUACGCCAGCCAUGAAUGCACCACUGAGAGACCUUAAAAGCCAAGUUGAAGACAGAUCAUCCUGGAGAGAAUCUAUCUAUGUGGUUGCUAAGAGUUGACACUGACUUGACAGCACUUAAUCAAUCAAGCUGGUGAUCAUUACCACAUCUGAUGACAGUAAAAUAAAUUAUGCAUUAUAUGAAGAAGUCUGUCCUGAACAUUCUGUUGAUUAAUUUCAUUGUGACCUGAGUUCCAGUAUUAUUGUAGUUUUCUCUCUCUCCACUCCUUGCAUAAUUUUACAAGCCUCUCUUAUGUCCUCUCUUCACUUAGCCUUUCCUCAUAAGUAAGGUGCUCCACCAGGGACUUUUACACACAACAGGCUUUACUACACGUUUACUGGGAAGCUUUACUGCAAACCUGAAGUUUUCCCAAAAAACCGACACAAAUAGUGGAUUAUUUUACCCCUGAUAUAAAUCAGGCUACACUCUAACACACAGUGAAAAACCCAAAUUGUGUGUGAACUGCUCCCCAAUAACUCGCAGAGACUUCAGGGUAAAUCUGGUCAUUACGUGAAUGUACCCCCUCCAUUCUGGAAGAGAUGUAAGUUAAAGGGCUUUUAAAAACCCCGUGUGAAAAACUUCCAGCUCAAUGACUACAGUAUUUUCCUUAUCUUUUUGCAUAUGUUUUCCAGCUGUACACUGUCCCUAAGAAAUAUCACCAAAUAGUAUCACAGAGAACCAAAAGCCUAACAUUUAAAUACUGAGCACAAAGUUGUUGUAUAAGUGAAUUAAAACAGAAAUGAAAUAUCUUAAAAGAAUCUAAACAGGAACAUGUUUUUAUUAAGCCUAAGUAAACAUCACAAAGCAGAUAGUAUAUUUUAUACUCUUCCUCAGGCUUGAUGCUUCUUUUAAAAAACCGUGUAGAAGAAGCCCCAUCUAGCAAUAUAUUGCUUUUUUUAAGAUGGUGAUUCAGAAAAUUAGCAGACUAUUUAAAUUAGAUUAUGCCCAGGAUGAAAGAUCACAGAUUACACUUAAGACAUAUUGGGGACAGAAAAGAAACACCACUCUCUCCUUGAGAAUAUAAACACCAGCACUUCUUAGAAUUUGUUAAAAUUCUGCUAAUUCCGAAAGAAGUUGACUUAGAGCCACGAGAAGCACAAGCAGUACUAUAUUUGGAAUAUUAUUCAUAGUUCUGGUCAAUAAUGAUAACGAGACUUGGCUUGCGUUGCUGUAAUCUGCAUGUGAAUUUGCCUGAUUAAAGUGGUUUGUGCUGCAAA